UACGGAGGGUGCAAGCGUUGCUCGGAAUUAUUGGGCGUAAAGGGUAGGUAGGUGGUCUUAUUUGUCUGGGGUGAAAGCCUUGAGCUUAACUCAAGAAGUGCCCCAGAAACGGUGAGACUAGAGUCUUGGAGAGGGUCGUGGAAUUCCCGGUGUAGCGGUGAAAUGCGUAGAGAUCGGGAAGAACACCAGUGGCGAAGGCGGCUCACUGGCCCGAUACUGACGCUGAGGUGCGAAAGCGUGGGGAGCAAACAGG
rnacentral:rRNA from 1 species